CUUGUGGAGGAGGACGCCGAAGGUGGGGCUAAUGACUGGGGUGAAGUCGUAACAAGGUAGCCGUACCGGAAGGUGCGGCUGGAUCACCUCCUAACAGGGAGACAACAAAAUGUUUAAUAUUAUUAUUUUGUCACCUUAGGUCGAUCGGUAUCUCACGUUUUUAAUUUAUUAAAAAUUUCAUUUCCUAAGUUUUUCUAGGUCACACCCAUUAUUUUUCCUGGGCCAUUAGCUCAGGUGGUUAGAGCGCACCCCUGAUAAGGGUGAGGUCCCUGGUUCAAGUCCAGGAUGGCCCAUAUCUCUAUGUUGGGGGUAUAGCUCAGUUGGUAGAGCGCCUGCUUUGCAAGCAGGAUGUCAACGGUUCGAGUCCGCUUACCUCCACUGAUUACCACCUCUUCCAUAACCGGUAGAAAGGAAAUGUUUUGAGUUGUGAUCAAAUUCUGAAAGAAUCUAGCUUCCUAAUGAAAUCAUUAAGAUGCUGGACUCAUUGAAUUAAUUUCAUUGUUUUCAGAGAACCUUGACAACUGCAUAGAUUAUUUUUAAAGACAAUAAGCAUCUUUAAUGAUGCAGAUUUAUUAUUUGUGCGAAUGCAUUAAUAACAAUUCUAUUAAGCUGAUGCUUCAAUUUUGAAGUUAUUGGUCAAGCUACAA
rnacentral:misc_RNA from 1 species